GUGGGGAAUAUUGGACAAUGGGGGGAACCCUGAUCCAGCCAUGCCGCGUGUGUGAAGAAGGCCUUUUGGUUGUAAAGCACUUUAAGCGAGGAGGAGGCUACCGAGAUUAAUACUCUUGGAUAGUGGACGUUACUCGCAGAAUAAGCACCGGCUAACUCUGUGCCAGCAGCCGCGGUAAUACAGAGGGUGCAAGCGUUAAUCGGAUUUACUGGGCGUAAAGCGCGCGUAGGUGGCCAAUUAAGUCAAAUGUGAAAUCCCCGAGCUUAACUUGGGAAUUGCAUUCGAUACUGGUUGGCUAGAGUAGGGGAGAGGAUGGUAGAAUUCCAGGUGUAGCGGUGAAAUGCGUAGAGAUCUGGAGGAAUACCGAUGGCGAAGGCAGCCAUCUGGCCUAAUACUGACACUGAGGUGCGAAAGCAUGGGGAGCAAACAGGAUUAGAAACCCCUGUAGUCC
rnacentral:rRNA from 1 species